UAAAGAUGGCGCGCGCGCCUGUCAAGAAGUUUUCAGCGCGUCAUUUUGACGAAAACUAACCUGAUAUCCAGUUUAAUCGAACCGUCAGAAGUUAUCGCCGUGUGUCUACUUCAACCUGAACUUGGGUUAAAUAUUAACAUGAUUUUCUUAUGCUGCUCGUUAGCUUCCAAAGCUAGCGGAGUUAGCUUAGCCUGCUAACUGGGCCUUUUGUGUGUAGAAACAGUUCGUGUUAUUGUGUGAAAAAUGUCUAAAAUCCAAAUUCUGAGAGCGUUACUGAAGCAGCGACUACCUGCAGAUGAAGAACAAGAGAUAUUUGAGCUGUUUGAAAGAACAACAGCAGAAUACGAGGAGAAACUUCGUGGGUAAAGGCGGAAUAUGAAGAGGAGCUCGGUCGUUUAAAAGAAGAGAUCGAGCGACAAAGAAAACUACUGGAUGCUGUUUUCAAGCCCGAAGUUCGUUUGCACAAAACAGAUGCGCAGCAGCUGUUGGUGAAAGAAGAAGUUUCUGCUGAGCAGCAGGAACCGACCUGCAGUCUGGGCCGGUCAGACCAUGACCUUCAUCCCAUUAAAAAUGAAGAGGAGGAACUGUGGAUAAGUAAGGAACGAGAACACCUUCAGGUGCUAGACGUUGAUGCCACAAAGUGUGAAUAUGAUGUGAAACCUCAGACAUCACAUUGUCUUCAGCAACCAACUGAGGAAAACAGAGAGGUUGAUCUUCUAACUCGCAUCAUACUGAACAGUUAAAAGCAGACUCCAAAGAACAGUAUUGGGAAGGAUCAGAAUUAACUCAUAUGUUUGAACAAGACAGUUAUUCACACCCACAGACUGCUGAUAUGAUCACACAUGCUCCUGAACCUGGGAGUAAUGCCAGAGGUUUUGACUGGGGUGAGACCAUAGAACCUGAGUCAUGUUUAUA